GACGAACGCUGGCGGCGUGCUUAACACAUGCAAGUCGAACGAUGAAGCGCUGUCUUUGUGGUGGUGUGGAUUAGUGGCGAACGGGUGAGUAAUACGCGGGCAACCUGCCCCUCUGCUUCGGGAUAAGCUUUGGAAACGGGGUCUAAUACCGGAUGUGCCUGUCUGGUCGCAUGGCUGGGCGGGGAAAGAUGUUUUUCGGCGGGGGAUGGGCUCGCGGCCUAUCAGCUUGUUGGUGGGGUGACGGCCUACCAAGGCGUCGACGGGUAGCCGGCCUGAGAGGGUGGUCGGCCACACUGGGACUGAGAUACGGCCCAGACUCCUACGGGAGGCAGCAGUGGGGGAUAUUGCACAAUGGGCGCAAGCCUGAUGCAGCGACGCCGCGUGGGGGAUGGAGGCUUUCGGGUUGUAAACCCCUUUCGGCGCGGGACAAGGCUCCGUUUGGCGGGGUUGAGGGUACGCGUCAAAGAAGCGCCGGCUAACUACGUGCCAGCAGCCGCGGUAAUACGUAGGGCGCGAGCGUUGUCCGGAAUUAUUGGGCGUAAGGGCUCGUAGGCGGCUUGUCGCGUCUGCUGUGAAAACGCGGGGCUCAACUCCGCGCGUGCAGUGGGUACGGGCAGGCUGGAGUGCGGCAGGGGUGGCUGGAAUUCCUGGUGUAGCGGUGGAAUGCGCAGAUAUCAGGAAGAACACCGAUGGCGAAGGCAGGCCACUGGGCCGUCACUGACGCUGAGGAGCGAAAGCGUGGGGAGCGAACAGGAUUAGAUACCCUGGUAGUCCACGCUGUAAACGUUGGGAACUAGGUGUGGGGUCUGUUCCACGGAUUCUGCGCCGGAGCUAACGCGUUAAGUUCCCCGCCUGGGGAGUACGGCCGCAAGGCUAAAACUCAAAGGAAUUGACGGGGGCCCGCACAAGCGGCGGAGCAUGCGGAUUAAUUCGAUGCAACGCGUAGAACCUUACCAAGGCUUGACAUGUGCCGGGAGGGCGCGGAGACGCGUCUGCCUUCGGGCCGGUUCACAGGUGGUGCAUGGUUGUCGUCAGCUCGUGUCGUGAGAUGUUGGGUUAAGUCCCGCAACGAGCGCAACCCUUGUCCCGUGUUGCCAGCGCGUUGUGGCGGGGACUCACGGGGGACUGCCGGGGUCAACUCGGAGGAAGGUGGGGACGACGUCAAAUCAUCAUGCCCCUUAUGCCUUGGGCUUCACGCAUGCUACAAUGGCCGGUACAGAGGGUGGCGAUGCCGUGAGGCGGAGCGAAUCUCGUAAAGCCGGUCUCAGUUCGGAUCGGGGUCUGCAACUCGGGCCCGUGAAGUCGGAGUCGCUAGUAAUCGCAGAUCGGCAACGCUGCGGUGAAUACGUUCUCGGGCCU
rnacentral:rRNA from 1 species